CAAGCAUGUUGGUCAGUAAUCUUUUAUUUAAACAAUGACGCUCUUCUUCACUUAUAUAACCACAAUGGUUUCUAAAAGCAUAUACCAGCUCCCAGGACCUGCUAUCUUCAUCCAAAUCCAAUACCAUGAAUAAUCAUGAAUCUCACUUAAAUACUGCUUUAUCUUAAACUAGACAACCAAAUUUUUUAUUAGGUAUGUCUAGA
rnacentral:lncRNA from 1 species